GACGAACGCUGGCGGCGUGCCUAACACAUGCAAGUCGAGCGAUGAAGUUUCCUUCGGGAAAUGGAUUAGCGGCGGACGGGUGAGUAACACGUGGGUAACCUGCCUCAUAGAGGGGAAUAGCCUCCCGAAAGGGAGAUUAAUACCGCAUAAUAUUACAGUUUCGCAUGAAACAGUAAUUAAAGGAGUAAUCCGCUAUGAGAUGGACCCGCGGCGCAUUAGCUAGUUGGUGAGGUAACGGCUCACCAAGGCGACGAUGCGUAGCCGACCUGAGAGGGUGAUCGGCCACAUUGGGACUGAGACACGGCCCAGACUCCUACGGGAGGCAGCAGUGGGGAAUAUUGCACAAUGGGGGAAACCCUGAUGCAGCAACGCCGCGUGAGUGAUGACGGUCUUCGGAUUGUAAAGCUCUGUCUUUGGGGACGAUAAUGACGGUACCCAAGGAGGUAGCCACGGCUAACUACGUGCCAGCCGCCGCUGUAACAC
rnacentral:rRNA from 1 species